rnacentral:sRNA from 1 species
UAUCAAUAUCACAGGAGAAGCGUGUAA